CCUACGGGAGGCUGCAGUAGGGAAUUUUCCGCAAUGGGCGCAAGCCUGACGGAGCAACGCCGCGUGAGUGAGGACGGCCUUCGGGUUGUAAAACUCUGUUCUGCGGGAAGAACGGCAGCCGGGUGAACAGUCCGGUUGAGUGACGGUACCGCAGAAGAAAGCCCCGGCUAACUACGUGCCAGCAGCCGCGGUAAUACGUAGGGGGCAAGCGUUGUCCGGAAUUAUUGGGCGUAAAGGGCGCGCAGGCGGCCUGUUAAGUCUGAUGUGAAAGACCGCGGCUCAACCGCGGGGUGGCAUCAGAAACUGGCAGACUUGAGUGCAGGAGAGGAGAGUGGAAUUCCCGGUGUAGCGGUGGAAUGCGUAGAGAUCGGGAGGAACACCAGUGGCGAAGGCGGCUCUCUGGCCUGUUACUGACGCUGAGGCGCGAAAGCGUGGGGAGCGAACAGGAUUAGAUACCCGGGUAGUC
rnacentral:rRNA from 1 species